rnacentral:lncRNA from 1 species
AUGAAAAAGUGCUUAUCACACAACGUUUAUCACUGCAAAAUCUGCAAAUGUGUGUUUCACGGCAUCACAGAUUGCAGUUCAACUGAAUGCACUUUGAUAAAGCUCGACAACAUCCGGAUCAUGGAUUCACAAUCAAAUGAACAGGCAUCCGCAUCCCAACCUCACGCACCAUUAUCUCCAGAGAUAAUUACCGUCCUUGAAACCAAAGCCAAUACAGAUGUCGGAGGAUCAGAUCAGAAAUCACAGUCUGGAACCCCCGACAACAAUCUGGCAGAACCUCUAGGUACUUCGACGCCAAUUAAGGACUCCACCAACCAAAUGAGUUCUGACAUUGGCAAGACACCUGUUUCUGAAUUAAAUGACUACCAACUUGAACUUUCUCUUAAUGAGGAAAAAAGCGCUUAUAUAGAGAAAAAAGCACAAUUUGACUCGCUUAAUCUCUUGAUAAGUGAAAAACGUAAAUUUCAGAGUGAUCUGAUAUCUAAACUGACCAAUACCGAUAUGGAAUCAUCAGAAUAUAUCCAAAUGAACAAGGAUAUCAAAGAAAUAGAUAAUGAGAUCACUUUCCUUCACAAGGAAAGAGGAGAGACUAACACUAAGGUGAACAACAUCAGCAGUAUCAUCUCAACGUUAGAAUCAGAAUUAGAGAAUAGAAGAUACAUGCACAAACAAGGUAUUUCAGGUGAAAACGACCCGGAAAAAACCCUAACUCCAGCCAAAAUCACUACCCCCAUGGAUGGGGUAAUAGAGGAAUCAAUUAAAAGAAGACGUGCUGACCUAGAUCAACUUGAUACAUCGUUUAGCGACACGGAAUAUGAGAAGGAAAGCAGGGAAAAAAGGAACAAAUCUGAUAAGGAGCAUAAGAAAAUCAGCAUAAGGAGAACAAGGAACAAAGAACCAAUAACCAAGAAGAACGUUCCACCCUCCAGUCAGCCACAAAUCACCACCUUUUUGCAAACAGACAAAGAUCCACCCUCUGAACAAACCAAAGAUCCAUUACCGUUUACGCAACAGGAUAACUUGACCAAAAAGAAGUUCGAUAUCUUCGCAGCCACUGAUACGAAACAGAACAAAACAAAGAAGAAACCAGAUCCAACUAAGAAGUCCAAGCAUGAGGAAAACACUAAGGAUAACACAACACGAACUAAAACAAAGGACAACACAGACAAUAAUAAAGAGAACACCAAUCCACAACCGGACGAUCCUUUACCUCAAUUUAUGUCGAAAUUCAUGGAGAAAAACCCACUUCCGAAAGAAUUCUCCACGGACUCUAUGAUGUACCUUUUUAACUUUUUCCAGUCUUUUAUAUUGUUUGUAAACUCCAAUCAAAUCGAAUCAGAACUAACUAAGAAAUGUAAAGAUCUUGAAGAUAAAAACAGAAACCUUGUAAAUGACCUUAAAGAAAAAGAUAAAGAAAUAAAAGAAUUGAGAGGAAAAAUAGAUAAGUACAAUCAGGAGAAAAAUGAGAAACAGCCGAAUAAUCCUUGGUUCAACAAUAAAAGAGAAUUCCCCGCUUUAAACCAGUCACGAUUAAUCUCUAGAGAAAUGAUUAAUAAUACAAUCUCCAAUACUAUAACGUCUAAAAAUCCUAAUGAAGUCAUAUAUAAAUUCACUACCCCAGAAGGUAAACCUAUCACCACCGAUACCUAUGACAAAUUUUGUGAACAGGAACUUCAGAAUAUUGCCCUCCCAGAGGACACCAAAAUUACAUGGAACGUAGUAUCUAAGAACAGGAAAAAAAUCCUCCUGAAAUCUCAAACAAAGAACAAGGAAGCAUUGAACAAUGUUAUCAUCCCCAAAUUCAAAGAACUAGGACUCGUCCCUGAAAUAGUCAAUAGAUCUGAGGUCAUUAAACUUGGCCCUGUGCCCUCUAACAUGAGUGACACACAAAUUAUAAAUAGGAUUAAAGAGGUAAUUGAGACAAAUAUUAAAGAAGAAGAUAUUAAUAUUUUCAGGAAAACAAAUAUGAGAACAAUAGAUGGCAAAAUGGUAGUUUACAUGAGAGUUAGAUCCCCAAUCCUGGAAAAAUUAGUAGAACUUAAGGAAAUAUACUUGAACAACUAUGGUGGGAGAGCCACUAUAGAACCUAUCAUUAUGGUAUCUCCCUGUCUCAUUUGCCUAGAUGUUAUGCACUCAACAAAAAAUUGUAAACACAAUAGAGAAGAUCCUUUAUGUCUCAGAUGCGGACAGUCCAAUCAUAAAAUAAGUGACUGUAAAAAUGAUAAGAAAUGUAUAAAUUGCGUAAGGAAGAAAAUGAAAGAUACAGACCACCUCCCCACUAGUAAUAUAUGCCCAAUAUUUAGAGAGGCAUGGAACCUUGGCUUUAACAGAUGUGAAAGACAAGCUGGAGAACUUUAUUUUAAGAAUAUUUGCAAUAAAAUGAUGCCAGAUAUUGAGCUCAACUCAAAAUCUUCAAUAUGA